UACGGGGGGAGCAAGCGUUGUUCGGAUUUACUGGGCGUAAAGGGCGCGUAGGCGGCUUAACAAGUCACUUGUGAAAUCUCCGGGCUUAACUCGGAACGGCCAAGUGAAACUGUCCAGCUAGAGUGCAGAAGGGGCAAUCGGAAUUCUUGGUGUAGCGGUGAAAUGCGUAGAUAUCAAGAGGAACACCUGAGGUGAAGACGGGUUGCUGGGCUGACACUGACGCUGAGGCGCGAAAGCCAGGGGAGCAAACGGG
rnacentral:rRNA from 1 species